GGAACGGCUGGAUGACGAGAACGAUACACUUUGAUUUAAUCUACUUAAAGUGCAUCUCGACGUCAGCGUACGCGUGUUUUUUUUCAUCGAUAGCCAUCUCGUUCGUUGUAAAAAUUUUAAAAACAUGUUUAAAAUCAUACUCCUUUGUUCGCUUUUAUGUGCGGUCAUGGCUAUGGCUGCUCCUCCGAUUAUUUUCACGAAUGGCGUUGUAGCCUCAUAUCCACACAGCAUGCUACUCAGACUUCUGAUUCCGGCUACUUCUUACGCAUACGCUGCAGGAUAUGACGCCAUUGAUUCGUACGAACCUGUAGAGCAUCACGGAUAUAGAAUCUCUUAUUAGCGAAGAACUAUUUUUUAGAAAUAUUGUGCUAGGUUUUGAUAAAGUUCUAAAUGUAUACAACCUUAGACUAUAAGUUCAUUAUUAAGUAUCUAUACGAGUAAUUCGAAUUUUUAUGCGUAAGUAUAAGUAUUAGUGAAUUUUUCACCCUUCUUUCACCAAAAAAUAAAUAAAUAAGGAAACAAAACUAUA